CUGCAUUCCACCCCUUGUGGGAGGGAAACAUGCAGGUGAGUGGGUGCAGGAACUGGCAGGAUACUUUAGUGUCAGCAGGAGUGAGCUUCAUGCAGGUCCCACGGCAGCACUCAGCAGGCAGGGGUGCCUGUGACUCCUGAAGCCCCAGAGGGCAUGUUACAGUACUCUUUUAGCUCUGCCAUCUGCAAACAGCUUACGUGUUAACAGCUCAGUGGGCCCUUUGCCUUUUUAUGUGAGGUGGCUGCCCUCCAUUAGCAAGGGCAAAGGGGCAGUGUGACAGCCUUUUGUAUCUGCACUCAUGGCUCCCAGACUCUUGUCCAGCAUCCAGGAAAAAUGAGGUCACACGAAUGAAUUGAAGGAUGGUAAAUUUGGAGGAUUUUAUUGCCAAUUAAAGUGGCUCUCAGUGGGAAAUGAAACUGAAAAGGAGACGGUGUGGGUACAAUAAUGAUGAUUGGAAGUUUCUAGCCAACUAUUUUUCAAUCUGAUGCAGAGAGUAAACAAACCAACAAACAAAGCAGCUAUUAUGUGUCUCCUGAUGGAUCUACACAAUAGCGAUUAUGGAGAUGAUUGCUAAAACAUACUGAUCGAGUUCCUACAUUAAAGAAAACACAGCCCGGUCAAAUCUCCUUAUUAUGGUUCCUAUAAUACCAUACACCUCUCCUUCAUAGCUCCGAUCACAGUAAAAGGGAUAGAGCUGGAGCAGAUAUAACAUUAAUACUUGGCAAAUCUGGCUGGACUCAAGAAUUAGAGUGAAAACUUACUGUUUUUGCUGCUGACCUCUCAUGCUUUCCUAUGGCACCAGAGCUCUGAUUUUGAAGAACAUCCUUUACAUACCGUCUGCUGAGAUGUCAGUAAAAAUGCCUUAUCCAGACCUGAGGAUCCAGCCAUACUGAGGAAGAUGUGACCCAAAUUUCACAUCUGAGUCAAUCCUGAGACUUUGACAUGAACACUUGACAGAGAGGGCUUCUUACUUUCACUAAACUCAAGACUGCUCAUAUAGCAUGUAAAUCUGAUUCUUCCAGAACCCAUCUUGCCAGUAAGAGGGACCAGAGUUUUCCUGGGAAAAUGGGGCAGACAAAUGAAAAUAAAUGGAGCUACUACAGAAGACAGCAGAGUCAAUAAGUGGAAAGACUCUAGAUGCUAAGGAUGUCACUUGAACCCCUGGAUUCAGCUGUGACUUUUCAGCCACCUGAAAUAAUUUCCCUUGUUGGUUUAAAUACACUGAAAAGAGAGAGAGAGAGAGAGAGAGAGAGAGAGAGAGAGAGAGAGAGAGAGAGUAUACUAUUAUAUAUAAUAUAUAUGCACUAUUAUAUAUUUAUUUACUUACAGCUGAAAGAUGCCCAAAUCAAGUGACUCUCAAUGCUGCCAUACCCCCAUUUAUCCCCAGUGAUGAGGAACUUACUGUCACAUGUAAGUUCCAUCCUUGGACUGACUUUUAAAAAGCUAUAUAUAAUUAUUUAAAAUUUCUUUACUUUAUACCCAUUGUUCCUGUUGCCUCACUUGGAGUCAGAUGGAGUAUGCCUGUUUCUUCACAAAGGCCUAUAGAUAUUGGAAUAUUACACUAGUCCCUCUUCCUUAAUUUGCCCAUCUCCUGUCCAAAGUUUCUUAUAUACUGAGACUUCCAAUCUAAACCUUAAGAUUAUCUUAUCUACAAAAUGUUUUUAAUAAGUAUGCAUCAAAAUGACUAUUUUUGUUAUCUUGCAUAAUUGUCAGAAUUAAAAUUGAAUUAUCUUUAGGUGCCUGCCCACACAUUAAACUUUUUUCUUUUCCCCCCUUUUAUAAGAAAACUCCAAAACAGAUUAUAAAAUGAGGAAUGAUUAAUACAUUCCAUUUAUACGAAAUAGUGCAAGCCCACAUAUCCCAGAGAAACACGGAAACAGCUGCCAAACCUACUCACUUCAUUUUUCAUGAAAUGAGAACAGCUGUUGAGUGUCUCAUAAAUAUCUAGGGCAAGACAUGAAGAAAUUACAAAGGAAACCCUUUCCAAGUAGGAAGUAUAUGUUCCCAAAUCCUUGAAAAUUCAUCUCAGAGCAUGGUAAAGCCAAGUAAGCUCGUUAAAGUUAAUGUAUGAGUUCCACAGAAGACAAGAGACUUUUCCAGAGUCCCAAAGAGAUAGCCAUAGAUCUCAGAUCUUUCUUCUUUGAUGCCAAUUUUACACACAGCAUAUAAUGAAUUACCAAAUAAAUGGUUCAGAUAUCAAGUGCAUUGGAUUUAGAGAAGGGAGAUAACCAUAAGAAGUGGAGAUGCUAGGCAAUUUUUUAGCUUGGUCAAUGGCUGAGAUUUAGUCAGGAGCUUUACCUCCAUUCUGUCUAAAUUCCUAAACAGUAAGAUGAGAUUCCAUGAACUAAGGGAAAUGCUAUUAGAGUCUCUAGUUACUCAAGUAUUCAUUCAGACAAAUAUUUACUGUUUUUAAGUACCAUGGACAAGGCACUGUGUUAAAUACAUUGUAUGUAUUGUCAAGGCAGAAGGUGUGGAGGUGGGGUGGGAAAGAGAUGAUGCCUUCUCUGAAGAAGUUUACAAAUUCUGAGGAAGUUCCCAAGACAUAUAUUUUUCAAUGUUCAGUAACAAUAAAUGCAGUGCUAUGUUUUAACUCAUCCUCUUAAGUCAUGGGGAAUUCCUUUUAUCCCUAGAAAACAGAUGACACUGACCUUAAAUGUUUGGUAAAUACAUUUCUAGGUAAAAAGUUGAGACCUUAGGUUAUGACCUUAAAUGUCUUAUCUUAUUCUUCCUUUAUUUUUUCAACUACCCAUCCUUCAAAAUUUAUUCCAAUUCUCUGCUUAUCUACAGAGCUUUCUUUGAUGUUCCCUCCACUGACAUUAACCUUUUAAUGAGCCCUUUAGCAUAUUACUGGUAUUUUUCUUGAUGCUUAAGCAUAUGAUUUUUAAUACAGUUACUUAACUGCUUUCUAUGUUAGGGGUUAUUUCCUCAGCUACAUUGAGCAUCUGGGCGAUAAAUGCCUUACAAUUCCUUAGUUUCUAGAACAACAUAAGUAUUCCAUGUAUUGCAAGGAAAUAAAUUAAUAAAUGCCAUACCCCUUUGAUUCUUCAUUGCCAAUUAAGUCUACUCCACAGAACUUGUCCUCCUGGCCAUCUAAGCCCAGUCAUGUCUGAGUCAUAAGAAAAUAUACCUUAAGGACAGAUACUGAUUUUUAUUUUAAUUUUACUGUAUUUCCCUAGUUGAGGCAACCUCCAUUGUUAACGUACUUCAUCCAGUACUAGCCCUGUGAGACAUCUGUGAAGGAAUGAAAUUCAGUGAUAAGAUAUAAUUACAGAUAAUCAAAUUAGUCAAAAUGAUAUAAGAUUAUCUAUCAUUGAAGCACAAUAUGAUCCAGAGAAGUAUAAACUAAUAGAAGAGCAGCCACUGAAAACUACAGCCAAAUCAUCACUUAUCUUGCCUGAAAAUGUAAGAAAUUUCAAUUAUCUGGUGUGUGUGGGGAACAUGAGAGAUUUUCAUUAUUCUCAGUGAAUGUAUGGAGUCCAUGCUUUGAAGAAUAUUAGUAAGCUUGGUCAACUGCAGAAGUGAUGGGCUAAGUAUUUGAAAGAAAGGAAGAGAACUAAGCUUUAAUGACCUUUAACAGAAACUUAGUAGGCUACUAAUACGUAGGAUUUAGACAUAUAUAUGCCAAUUAUGUGUAUGUAUUAAUAUUGUUUAUGCUACUGCAUGACUUUCAACCAUUAAAAAAAAAAGAACUUACAUGUUUACUUAGUUAUCACUAGGAAUACCCUCUUAGCAGUUUAGAAGCCUACCUGUAGUAUUUCCCCUUGGGCAGGGUCAAUUUUUAAAGAUGACAUCACCCAAGAAUAAUGGCCAUGAAUUGCCCUCAGAGGAAUCACCUUAAAGGAGAACUUUAUUUUUGUUCUACUUGGUCUGAUCAAUUAGCAUAUAUUACUUGAAACAGAGUAGGAGAAAGAACAAUGCAAUAAGGUCCACUGAAAUCCAGUUCAAAGCUGAAGCAUAUCCAGAGGAAUGUUAAUCUGAUUACUAAAUGCCAACACAUUGUUUUAAUGAGUGGCUGGAUUUUAUGUAAGUGGCAGGUCUUUGCAGCCUCUCACCUGCUAAAGAAAAUCAUCCCUGCCUAUAAGACAAUACACCUUUCAAUUUCUUUAAGAAAAGAAAUUCAAGACAAUAUAGUUUACCAGAAAGCUUGUAGUAAACCCAAUCCUCACCAGCCUUCUUUCCAAUCACAAAUGUCCUAUGUUCCUUUCUGUCUCUUAGCCUUUUCAGAUGUUGGUCACUCAGCUAAAAUGACAUUCUUCUCACAAUGGAUGCUAACAUAGAUUAUGAUUCAAACCAUAACAAUUUUGAGAGUGAGAGAGGAUAGUAAUAAUAAAUUGGAUAUACUAUAUUUGCAACCCUAUUGCAAUACUAUUUUUAAAAAUAUGUCUUAAAGUAGAAAAGCAACAUAUGUCCACCAAAUACACUAAAACAAUUUUUUUUUAACUUUGUAUUGAUUGUUUAAACACUGAAAACAAAAUAGGAUGCCUAAGCUUUAAUCAGUUCCUUAGCUAUAUUUUUCUUUAAAAAUGUCUUGUAGGUAUCUUUAUUGAAGAAUGUAUUUUUUAAAUAAUAUAAUGUAGGGUAAGGAGAUUCUCCUUUUUGGAAGGUGAGUUUAAGGCUAUUGAAAUCGAUUUACAAUAGACCAAUUUACAGGAAGAAAGGUUUAUAAAUUAACAGGUACAUGGGCAUGGUAGUCCCAUAAAUAUAAAAUGCAAAGGAGGGAACAGAUGACUGAAGUUUUUAUAACAUCCUGGGGUUACAGAAAGAACACCUGGGGUUUCUGGUGGGGGUGGUUUCACAGGCUAUGGAAGAUAGAUGGGAGGAAAGUGGUGCUAUAGUUUAGAUGUUCAUCACCUCCAAAUCUCAUGUUGAAAUUUGAUCCCUAUCACUGGGGAUGGUGCCUAAUGGGAGGUAUUUGGGUCAUGGGGGUGGGAUCCCUCAUUAAUAGAUGAAUGGCCUCCCUGGGGAGAUGGGUAAGCAAGUUCUCAUUUUAUUAAUUCCCCCAAGAGUUUGUGGUUAAAAAGAGCCUGCCCCUACCCCAACCUUGCUAUAUCCUCUCUCACCAUGUGAUAUCUCUGUACAUGCUGGGCUGUCCUUUGCUCUCCACCAUGAGCAGAAGCAGCCUGAGGCCCUAUCAGAAGCAGAUGCUAGCGCCAUGCUUUUUGUACAGCUUGAAGAACUGUGAGCUAAAUAAACCUCUUUUCUUUAUAAAGUACUCAGCUUCGGGUACUUCUCUAUAACAACACAAACAACUAAGACCUAUGGCAAGCAAAGGUUGCCUUGUUAUACAGAUAAAAAUCUCUCAGGUCAUCUUGGGGCUGCCCUCAGAAGGAAUACAUGGCAGCCAGUGGUAAAGUUUCUUUGUCAGAGCUUUGAUGUGUCAAACUUCUAGUUUUCUUUUCCAGUAAAUUAAUCUUUCUGAUUAAUCUGAUAAGGCAAAUAAGGGAGUGGGCUUCAGAGAGAGCCUGUUUGAAUCUGCUGUUUAUUUCACUAAUGUAGAUUUUCUCUACAUAUGCAAAUCUCCUCAACAAAAAGGCAGCUUUUCAGGGCUAUUCCUGUGGCUUGCCCUCCCUCCAAAUGACCAUCUUGAAAUAGGCCAAAAAAAGCAUAUUUGGGGGUGAAAUAUUCUGGUUUUCUUCAAUGAUUUUAUUGUUUUCACUAAAUUACCUGUAAGUGAGCAUCAUCAAAAUUGCAUUUUAUGUUUAAUAAGUUUGGAGUGUUUGACAACUUCAGUUUACUUUCUGCUGUAAAGCAUUUUUUUAAAUUAAGAAAACUCUCUUUCUAGAUGUGGCAUAAGCUUGUUAGCUGUCCAUUUUGAAAAUAGUCUCUCG
rnacentral:lncRNA from 10 species